AGCGAACGCUGGCGGCAGGCUUAACACAUGCCAGUCGAGCGGGCAUCCUUGUGGUGUCAGCGGCAGACGGGUGAGUAACGCGUGGGAACGUGUCCUUCGGUUCGGAAUAACUCAGGGAAACUUGAGCUAAUACCGGAUACGUGCGAGAGCAGAAAGGUUUAUCUGCCGAAGGAUCGGCCCGCGUCUGAUUAGCUAGUUGGUGAGGUUAUGGCUCACCAAGGCGACGAUCAGUAGCUGGUCUGAGAGGAUGAUCAGCCACACUGGGACUGAGACACGGCCCAGACUCCUACGGGAGGCAGCAGUGGGGAAUAUUGGACAAUGGGGGCAACCCUGAUCCAGCCAUGCCGCGUGAGUGAUGACGGCCUUAGGGUUGUAAAGCUCUUUUCUCCGGGACGAUAAUGACGGUACCGGAGGAAUAAGCCCCGGCUAACUUCGUG
rnacentral:rRNA from 1 species